AUCGAAUAAAUACUCAAAUCUUUGUUUGAGUUUUACAAGAGGCAAAUUCAAGAGAGAUGAUCCAAGAGAUAUAGUGAGAGAGCUUGGAAUUUGCUUUGUAUGCGAAGAGCUUUGUUUGUAGUGAUGAUUUUCACUUUGAGAGAUAUUAGCUUGCAAAACUCUUGCUUAUGACCUUCAAAGGCCCUUGUAUUUAUAGGUGAGGAGUGUCUUGGUGACCAAGGGAGAAAAUAGAGCUGUUGGACACGUUUUUGAUAGCUGUCCAAAGUCUCAAUUGAUU
rnacentral:lncRNA from 1 species